GAGUUUGAUCAUGGCUCAGAUUGAACGCUGGCGGCAUGCCUUACACAUGCAAGUCGAACGGCAGCAUGAUCUAGCUUGCUAGAUUGAUGGCGAGUGGCGAACGGGUGAGUAAUACAUCGGAACGUGCCCUGUAGUGGGGGAUAACUAGUCGAAAGAUUAGCUAAUACCGCAUACGACCUGAGGGUGAAAGUGGGGGACCGCAAGGCCUCAUGCUAUAGGAGCGGCCGAUGUCUGAUUAGCUAGUUGGUGGGGUAAAGGCCCACCAAGGCGACGAUCAGUAGCUGGUCUGAGAGGACGAUCAGCCACACUGGGACUGAGACACGGCCCAGACUCCUACGGGAGGCAGCAGUGGGGAAUUUUGGACAAUGGGCGAAAGCCUGAUCCAGCAAUGCCGCGUGUGUGAAGAAGGCCUGGUUGUAAGGU
rnacentral:rRNA from 1 species